rnacentral:rRNA from 1 species
GGACGAGAAAGGAGACUUCGGUCUCUGAGUACAGUGGCGCACGGGUGCGUAACACGUAAGUAAUCUACCCCGAACUCUGGGAUAACCCUCCGAAAGGAGGGCUAAUACUGGAUAGGGUCCCCGAGGUGUAGACUGCGGGGGGAAAACGGGCCUCUGUUUCAUGCUCGUGGUUUGGGAUGAGCUUGCGGCCCAUUAGCUAGUUGGUAAGGUAAUGGCUUACCAAGGCAACGAUGGGUAGCUGGUCUGAGAGGAUGAUCAGCCACACUGGCACUGAGACACGGGCCAGACUCCUACAGGAGGCAGCAGUGGGGAAUUUUGCGCAAUGGGCGAAAGCCUGACGCAGUAACGCCGCGUGGAGGAUGAAGGCCUUCGGGUUGUAAACUCCUGUCAGGAGGAACGACGGGGAAGGGGUGAUAAACCCUUUCCUCCAGACGGUACCUCCAAAGGAAGCCCCGGCUAAUUCCGUG